GUCGUACGCUUCUUUUUCCCCGGAGCUUGCUCCACCGGAAAAAGAAGAGUGGCGAACGGGUGAGUAACACGUGGGUAACCUGCCCAUCAGAAGGGGAUAACACUUGGAAACAGGUGCUAAUACCGUAUAACAAUCGAAACCGCAUGGUUUUGAUUUGAAAGGCGCUUUCGGGUGUCGCUGAUGGAUGGACCCGCGGUGCAUUAGCUAGUUGGUGAGGUAACGGCUCACCAAGGCCACGAUGCAUAGCCGACCUGAGAGGGUGAUCGGCCACAUUGGGACUGAGACACGGCCCAAACUCCUACGGGAGGCAGCAGUAGGGAAUCUUCGGCAAUGGACGAAAGUCUGACCGAGCAACGCCGCGUGAGUGAAGAAGGUUUUCGGAUCGUAAAACUCUGUUGUUAGAGAAGAACAAGGAUGAGAGUAACUGUUCAUCCCUUGACGGUAUCUAACCAGAAAGCCACGGCUAACUACGUGCCAGCAGCCGCGGUAAUACGUAGGUGGCAAGCGUUGUCCGGAUUUAUUGGGCGUAAAGCGAGCGCAGGCGGUUUCUUAAGUCUGAUGUGAAAGCCCCCGGCUCAACCGGGGAGGGUCAUUGGAAACUGGGAGACUUGAGUGCAGAAGAGGAGAGUGGAAUUCCAUGUGUAGCGGUGAAAUGCGUAGAUAUAUGGAGGAACACCAGUGGCGAAGGCGGCUCUCUGGUCUGUAACUGACGCUGAGGCUCGAAAGCGUGGGGAGCAAACAGGAUUAGAUACCCUGGUAGUCCACGCCGUAAACGAUGAGUGCUAAGUGUUGGAGGGUUUCCGCCCUUCAGUGCUGCAGCUAACGCAUUAAGCACUCCGCCUGGGGAGUACGACCGCAAGGUUGAAACUCAAAGGAAUUGACGGGGGCCCGCACAAGCGGUGGAGCAUGUGGUUUAAUUCGAAGCAACGCGAAGAACCUUACCAGGUCUUGACAUCCUUUGACCACUCUAGAGAUAGAGCUUCCCCUUCGGGGGCAAAGUGACAGGUGGUGCAUGGUUGUCGUCAGCUCGUGUCGUGAGAUGUUGGGUUAAGUCCCGCAACGAGCGCAACCCUUAUUGUUAGUUGCCAUCAUUCAGUUGGGCACUCUAGCAAGACUGCCGGUGACAAACCGGAGGAAGGUGGGGAUGACGUCAAAUCAUCAUGCCCCUUAUGACCUGGGCUACACACGUGCUACAAUGGGAAGUACAACGAGUCGCGAAGUCGCGAGGCUAAGCUAAUCUCUUAAAGCUUCUCUCAGUUCGGAUUGUAGGCUGCAACUCGCCUACAUGAAGCCGGAAUCGCUAGUAAUCGCGGAUCAGCACGCCGCGGUGAAUACGUUCCCGGGCCUUGUACACACCGCCCGUCACACCACGAGAGUUUGUAACACCCGAAGUCGGUGAGGUAACCUU
rnacentral:rRNA from 1 species